rfam:Celeribacter baekdonensis B30 contig28, whole genome shotgun sequence.
AAUCAAGCGCGAAAAGGGCGUUUGGUGAAUGCCUAGGCAGUAAGAGGCGAUGAAGGACGUGAUACUCUGCGAUAAGUCAUGGGGAGCUGAGAAUAGGCUUUGAUCCAUGAAUUUCCGAAUGGGGGAACCCACCUGACAGUUUGAUAUAAUUGCCGCAAGGCACUUUAUAUCCGGCUGAACCAGGUACUUAUAGACUGAAUACAUAGGUUUAUAAGAGCAAACCCGGGGAACUGAAACAUCUAAGUACCCGGAGGAAAGGACAUCAAUAGAGACUUCCCUAGUAGCGGCGAGCGAACGGGAACCAGCCGAGCCUGAUAAGUGACUAGAACAUGUUGGAAACCAUGGCCAUAGCGGGUGACAGCCCCGUAUAGGAAGCUUUGAGGGACGUAUUAAGUAGGGCGGAACACGUGAAAUUCUGUCUGAAGAUCGGGGGACCACCCCCGAAGGCUAAGUACUCCUUACUGACCGAUAGUGAACCAGUACCGUGAGGGAAAGGUGAAAAGCACCCCGACGAGGGGAGUGAAACAGUUUCUGAAACCGGACGCCUACAAGCAGUCGGAGGGGCCUUGAGCCCUGACGGCGUACCUUUUGUAUAAUGGGUCAUCGACUUGGUCUCACGAGCAAGCUUAAGCCGUUAGGUGUAGGCGCAGCGAAAGCGAGUCUUAAUAGGGCGCAUGAGUUCGUGGGAUCAGACCCGAAACCGAGUGAUCUAGGCAUGACCAGGAUGAAGGUAAGGUAACACUUACUGGAGGUCCGAACCCACACCUGUUGAAAAAGGUCGGGAUGAGUUGUGCCUAGGGGUGAAAGGCCAAUCAAACUCGGAGAUAGCUGGUUCUCUGCGAAAUCUAUUUAGGUAGAGCGUCAUCCGAAUACCCCGGGGGGUAGAGCACUGGAUGGGUAAUGGGGCCCCACAGGCUUACUGAUCCUAACCAAACUCCGAAUACCCGGGAGUACUAGAUGGCAGACACACAGCGGAUGCUAACGUCCGUUGUGAAGAGGGAAACAACCCUGACCUCCAGCUAAGGCCCCUAAUUCAUGGCUAAGUGGGAAAGCAGGUGGGACGACCAAAACAACCAGGAGGUUGGCUUAGAAGCAGCCAUCCUUUAAAGAUAGCGUAACAGCUCACUGGUCUAGAUAAGUUGUCCUGCGGCGAAGAUGUAACGGGGCUCAAGCCAUGAGCCGAAGCUGAGGAUGCCGUAAGGCAUGGUAGCAGAGCGUAGUGUGACAUAGUUCCAUGUGUCCUUACCCACUUCGGUGGGAUUGGACACAAGGAGCUUUCUGUGAAGCGGGCGCGUGAGCGAUCCCGUGGAGAGAUCACUAGUGAGAAUGAUGACAUGAGUAGCGACAAACAGGGUGAGAGACCCUGUCGCCGAAAGUCCAAGGGUUCCUGCUUAAAGCUAAUCUGAGCAGGGUGAGCCGACCCCUAAGGCGAGGCCGAAAGGCGUAGUCGAUGGGAACCAGGUUAAUAUUCCUGGGCCAGUAAGAAGUGACGGAUCUCGAGGGUAGUUCAUCCUUAUCGGAUUGAAUGGGCUGCUUAGAGGUUCCUGGAAAUAGCUCUUACAUAAGAUCGUACCCUAAACCGACACAGGUGGACUGGUAGAGAAUACCAAGGCGCUUGAGAGAACUAUGUUGAAGGAACUCGGCAAAAUACCUCCGUAAGUUCGCGAGAAGGAGGCCCGGUUCCAAGGCAACUUGGAGCUGGGGGCACAAACCAGGGGGUGGCGACUGUUUACUAAAAACACAGGGCUCUGCGAAGUCGUAAGACGACGUAUAGGGUCUGACGCCUGCCCGGUGCCUGAAGGUUAAAAGGAGGAGUGCAAGCUCCGAAUUGAAGCCCAGGUAAACGGCGGCCGUAACUAUAACGGUCCUAAGGUAGCGAAAUUCCUUGUCGAGUAAGUUCCGACCUGCACGAAUGGCGUAACGACUUCCCCGCUGUCUCCAACAUAGACUCAGCGAAAUUGAAUUGCCUGUCAAGAUGCAGGCUUCCCGCGGUUAGACGGAAAGACCCCGUGCACCUUUACUACAGCUUCACACUGGCAUUAGGCCGAACAUGUGCAGGAUAGGUGGUAGGCUUUGAAGCAGGGACGCUAGUCCCUGUGGAGCCUCCCUUGAGAUACCACCCUUGUUCUGCUUGAUGUCUAACCGCGGACCGUUAUCCGGUUCCGGGACCCUGUGUGGCGGGUAGUUUGACUGGGGCGGUCGCCUCCUAAAGAGUAACGGAGGCGCGCGAAGGUUGGCUCAGAGCGGUCGGAAAUCGCUCGUUGAGUGCAAUGGCAAAAGCCAGCCUGACUGCAAGACUGACAAGUCGAGCAGAGACGAAAGU